rnacentral:ncRNA from 1 species
UAUCUGAUUGAUUCUGUCAGCGCUAUAUGCUUACGUAAAAGACUAAGACCAUGCAUGUACUGUUCAACUAACGGUGAAACUGCGAACGGCUCAUUAGAGCAGAUAUCAUUUAUUCGGUAAUAUUUUUGGAUAACUGCGGUAAUUCUGGAGCUAAUACAUGCAUCAAUGCCCCAACUUCGGAAGGGGUGCAAUUAUUAGAACAGACCAAUCGUCCUUGGACGUAGUUUGUUGACUCUGAAUAACGCAGCAUAUCGGCGGCUAGUCCGCUGAUAAUCCGAGAAAGUGUCUGCCCUAUCAACCUGAUGGUAGUCUAUUAGUCUACCAUGGUUAUCACGGGUAACGGAGAAUAAGGGUUCGACUCCGGAGAGGGAGCCUUAGAAACGGCUACCACAUCCAAGGAAGGCAGCAGGCGCGUAACUUAUCCACUCCUAAUCGGUGAGAUAGUGACUAAAAAUAAAAAGACCAUUCCUAUGGAACGGUUAUUUCAAUGAGUAGAUCUUAAAUCUAUCUUCGAGUAUCUAGUGGAGGGCAAGUCUGGUGCCAGCAGCCGCGGUAAUUCCAGCUCCACAAGUGUAAAUCGUCAUUGCUGCGGUUAAAAAGCUCGUAGGUGAU